UGAUCUUUACUGUGUGGUUUUGACUUAACUUGAGACCAACAGUGACGCCCACUGAGUUCUUAGCCAAGAAAGUAAUCCAUGAUGCCACAACCGAAGAGAAAGAGAGUUGUACCACCAAGCAUAACAGAGGGUAAUGGUGAAGCCCCUGCAUGUUACUGAUGGCAUUAUAUUCACUUUGUUUAUCUGCUAUGUGCUGGAUCCUUAUAGAAAAAUAUGGGUCCUCAUGUUUGGAUAAUUAAUGGUUUGUGGGGGGUAGGUGAUAUAGACUAUACACGAAGGAAGUGUCUGGACGAGGUAUCAUCGUCGACGAUGAGGAGGAUGGCGGCGUGUGGAGCUGGAGCAAGGGGGUGGCGCAGGGUGAAAGAGGAGGCACAAGAGUGAUAGGGAAGUGGUGGAGUUAUUGAGGGAAAACCCUCCUAGUUCAUUAAUCAAAAUCGAUUACAUCCGUGUGGAACCCUACUAAA
rnacentral:lncRNA from 1 species